AUAGAUCCCAACUUAAAAGAAUGUUCAAUGGGGCUGUGAAAAGAAUGAAAGUCUGGAUAUGGGUAUGCAGUGGCAAUACUUUCAAAUCACAAGUCAAGUAUCUCUUCUUUUUCUUCCUGCAUAUCUACAUUUGUAUGGGAAGUUAACUUGAAAUACCAUCAGUGGGAAAGGCACUAAUUAAAGAAUAAAUGCUGAAUUCUUCUUUCAGAUAGAGUGUUCCUGUGAGCACUGCACAGGCAUAUGCACAAAGCAGCAACAUUCAUAGUAUCUUUUCAUUUCUUUAGAUCUGUUAUGAGCCAAUUUUACUUCAAGAGGCAUGCAAAGAUCUGUUCAUCUGAAAGACUUUUAAUUAUAUACAGACUUUCAUAAAUGCAUCCCCCUUCUUUGAAACGACAAAUAGUUUGGAUGACUUCCUAAAAAGCAUCCUUCCAGAAUCAUUUUUCAUCCUUAAAUCAAAUUUGUAUAGUGCAGCUUCCCUAUAUAAUGGGAAAUGUUCUUUGCAAAGAACAUUAGCGUAUGAUAUAAAUGUAUUGAUUCAGAAAGAAUUUUGAAAUGGCAUUUUCCAGUAGCAUAGAACUGUUAGAAACAUAACUCUUCAAUCCAAGGAGCAUGGCAUGAAGAAGGCCAGAAAUAAGAAGCCACUUCCUCUUUUGCAGCUCCCUUAUGCUCUUCUGUGGAUGCGGAACUCCUACUAGGGCUGUGUGAAGUUUCAUUUGUCCAGGACCAGAUAAGCAGACCUCCAAAUCUGUCAAGAUUGAAGAACACCCUGCUCCAGGGACCUAUGAAUACCUUUCACAGAUCAUGCAAGAUGUCCUAUUAAUUCCACUAGAGGACUUCCCAUCUGGAUCAGCUUCUAAUAGACUGCCCAAGAAGCCUCAUUGGGAAAUGGCAUAACUUCCCUAAGUGCCUGCCUAGAAGCAGUCAAGACUGGAUGAAGGAUAACAAAUUGAAUCUGAAUCUAGGUAAGAUGAAGGUACUUAUUAUGGGAGAUUCGGACUCAAGAUAUGGUUUAGAUCUACUUGUUCCAGUAGAUCUCCCCCAGAAGGAACAGGUACACAGUUUGGGAGUCCUCCUGGAUUCAAACAUCUCCCUGAUGUCUCAGGCUGUGUCCAGGAGUGCUUUUUAUCAGCUUCAACUGAUACACCAACUACGUCCAUUUCUCAAGAUAAAUUACCUGAAAACAAUGGUGUGGGUCACUUCCAGGCUUGACAACUGAAAUGUGCUCUGUGUUGGGCAGCCUUUGUAUGUAGUCUGAAAACUGUGGUUGGUUCAGAAUGCGGCAGCCAGGUUGGUCUCUGGGGCGACUUGAAGAGAUCAUAUUAUUCCUAUUUUAAAAUAUCUUCACUGACUACCAAUACGUUCCAGGGCCAAAUACAAAGUGCUGGUUAUUACCUAUACAACCCUUAAUGGGUUGGGCCUAUGUUAUUUAAGAAAGUACCCUUUUCAUCAUGAAGCCCGCUGCCUACUGAGAUCAUCAGGGGAGAUCUGGUUGCGGUUACCACUGGCUUGUUUGAUGGUGACUUGGAACCGGGCCUUUUCUUUAGCCACCCUCAGACUUGGGAAUUUGCUCCCUGUCAGAAUCGGAGCUCCCCCAUUUCUGGCUACCUUUAAGAAAGUUCUAAAGACACAUCUGUUUCUUCAGGCUUUUAGUUUAAAGAAAUGUAUACUGUUUUUAAAUUUUUCUAACUAUUUGGUUUUUAAUGAUUUUAAUUGUUUUAAUUUUAUUAUGUAAACUGCCUGGAGAUGUUUAUAUCAGACAGUUUAUACAUCCAACAGAUAGAUAGAGCCCUAAAGUGUGUGGGAACAGGGUGCCUGAAGGACUGACUACUUCCAUAUGAACCUGCUCAGCAGUUGUGAUCAGUAUGGGUCCCUACUCUUAGUGCCCUUUCAUGAGAAAUGUAGGCAGGUGAUUACUUGGGAGAGGGCCUCUAGGACCUUUGUUCAGGUCAGCCCAAAGUCAUUGGGCAUCUGAAGCAAGGUACCAAAUGCUGCUUUUCCCUGCAUCUGGAGGUGGCUAUAGGCAAGAUGCCUCUAAAUACCAGUUGCAGGGAAGCAACAGCAGGAGAGAGGGCAUGCCUUCACCUCUUGCUUGUGGACUUCCCAGAGGCAUCUAGUGGGCCACUGUGUGAAACAGAAUGCUGGACUAGAUAGGCCUUAGGCCUGAUCCAGCAGGCCAAUUCUUGUAUUCUUCUCUUGCAGGCUUUAAAUAGAAUAGCCUGCUGGUAGCUUCCUCUCAUCACCCCAGGUUGCAGGGAUGACUCUGAGGGAUAGCAAGCACUUCCCCCAAAAUAUUUCCUGCUCCCCCUUUCACUUUCCUGUCCACCAGACUGGAACUUUACAACAGAUUACCAGACAAUACAGUCAUGGUACUAUAGCUUGAAUUAAUUAUUUUGAAAGGCAUCUAUUGUUUACAGAAGCCUCAUUCAUUCACUCCUCAACCCCAGAACAGCCAGCAAGUGAAGUACGAUGCGCAUGCAAUACCUCUUACCUUUCUUUUAGCCCGGGUUUAAAAACUGGGCUACCUGGUCGAGGAUCUCUGGGAUUGGUCCCAAUCCUGGCAGUUCUCACCACCCACCCUACAGCUCUCCUACCCAAGUAGGGCUGGUCAUGAGAAUGACCUCAAUGUAUAGCACAAUCCUCGUAGCCUCAAUAAUAUUGUUUGCCACCCCUUUGCUCUCACAAGUUAGUUGUUCUAGAGUCGCUCCUGCUGAGCUACAAAUGGUUAGAUUGGGAGCUUCCCAUCCGACCACUUUUAAAGGGGUGUGGGGUGAGAAGAAGAGGCUCCUGGCACCCUUCCUUUCUUUGCCCUAUGUCUUUUAAAACCUGAAGAGGUUGGAACCAAUCCCUGCAGGCUUUAAAAAGGGUGCAGGAUGAGAUGAAGAGGCUGCUGACAGCCUGACCACUACUUCCACUACAGUGGCCAGUUCCACACUCAUCCUCCUUUUGGAAGUUAGUUGUGGUGGUGUCAUUUAAUUUAUUAUAGGGUUUGCUUUGCUUCCUGUGCUUCGAUGCCGUUUUGGUCUGCAGAUGGCUUACAAGCUUCUGAAUUGGUUAAUUGCUGCUUUUAGCUAUUAUUUUUGCAUCAUGGCAUCCUUUUAUUCUGUUUGCUCUUCUCUUUUGUCAUGGAUUAAUGCUUUCCUCUAUUUUGUUGAGCUGCCUUGAAUGCCAUUUGGCAGAAAAGCAGCAUACAAAUUUUGGACAAUAAAAAGAAAUCAAACAAGAAUUUUAUGAUACUAUUUAGGAGGAAUGGGCAGCUGUGUGUGUGUGUGUGUGUGUGUGUGUGUGUGCGUGUGCGUGUGCAUGCUUAACUUUUGGCACAAAGUACGUCUGCAGUGAGGAAAAGACCCCUUGCUAUUUGUUACCUCAUCAAGCUUCAUCAGUAGUUUCCCAGAAUUACUUGUGUUAAAGCUCACAUUCUGAAUAAACAAUUGAUAGGCAAAGUAUGAAGGAUUUUCCCUCUCUCUCCUUUCCCCUCUUACUCAUUGUCCUUUCCUACUUUCCAUUCUGCUGAGCUGUGCAUUCUGUGCUUUACAGGGGCUGAACAAGUUUUAGAUGCUGUCAUGGUCUUACUAACCUUAUUCUUACCACAAUGUCUGUUCAUUUCAUAAUUGCCGGUAGAUGUGGAAGACUCCAGAUUAUCAUCUCUAACAUAUGGAUCCAUUCAUACAUACACCCACACAUCGUCCCAAAUCCAUUUUUGAGAUUAUCACACGUUUGUUAUGCAGAUUUUUCAUUCUGCCAGCAUGUUCCGUACUCUUUGGAAUAGUCAUUUAUUCUGUUACAAACCAUCCCUCACUUUCUCUGAGUAUAGAUAGAUAGAUAGAUAGAUAGAUAGAUAGAUAGAUAGAUAGAUAUCGCCUGUGUACAUGGAGAGGCAUAUAGACAUACUGCCCUGACACAAGACACAACACAUUGGCUAUAAAUUCAAAAGGCGGAAAAUAAAUAACAUUCACUGUCUGAACGUGUGGUUUAGCUUGGACAGUUCAAUGUGCAAGUUUAAAAAGUGAAUACAAAUUAGUCAUAAAAUGGCCCCAUCUAUUAUUCACUGGGUUUGCUGUGCUGUCAUGAACUGAAAAACAUAUUUAUUAGAGUGAGAGCUUUUGCAGCAGAAGGGAUAUUAAAGCAAAGUUUUGCUUUGCUCCUCAAAGCUCUUAUUUUCUCUUAGAUUUGCUACCCUAGAUACUAUUAAAGAGCUUUGGGUCAGAAAUGAAAAUAUCUUUAAUAAAACAAAUUGGACUUCACGCUGUGGUUUGCAGUCAGUGAGUACGUUCACUUACCAACUUAUUUUUCCAACAUCCUCUGUUGCUUGUUUUAGAACAGAUAUGUUAAAGGUAGGUCUCAGUCUUCUAGAGAACUGUCUUGAUAGAUGUAUUGCUCAGAGCAACAUCUGUAAUUUAUGAAUAUAGAAAAUCUACACUGGCUCUCAUUGUCUGCGCAGUACAUGUGCUUUAGGGCAAGUGAGAUGCUUGGAUAAUGGAAAAGCAGAGUGCUAAUAAAUCUCUCUGCUAUGAAAGCACUGCUUACAUCUUCCCUUUAAAAUAAAUCCAAAGCUAAAUUCUAAAUUACAUCUUUAGAGAUCACUGAUGCUGUUUCUUCAUGUUAUUGCUAUUGUUAUAUUGAAUGUUUGCUUUGUAAUAUGCAGGCGCUGAUGUUUGGUUUAAAAUGGAUCUAAUUAAGUGGAGAGCAUCUGACUUCUUACCAAGAAUAAAACUAGUAAAUCACCAAGAUCCUAUAAAAAUGUACUAUACGGCUCUGAAUGAGAUGCUGGAAUCAUUUAAGUUACUAUCUGUGAUAACAGCAGAAUGGCUGAAACUAUUACAAUAUGCUGUGAAAAUUUCUACUCUGGUAUAAAUAACUUGAUCCCAAUCUCUGCAGACUGUGAAGAAAAUUAAGAACAUAGAGAUUGAUGCACCGGAACAGACCAAUGAUCCAUCCAGUUUCAUAUUCUGCCUCUGACAGUAGUCCAGGCAUGAUGAUCAGAAGAAAAAAAUAUACACAACCAGUUGUGGGAUACUGUACCAGAGAGAGAAUUUUUUCCUUAACACCAGCUGGUGAUCAGUAUCUGCUUUAAAGCAUGAGGAUUGAUGGCAGUUGUAAAUUCCAUCCUAGCUAGUGCAGCUAAAUUGGAUUGCUUCUUAUUGUCCCCAACCUACCCUUCACCUGUCCUCCUCAAACAUGCAGUCCUGUUGCCUAUAGCUAAAGAUAUAAUAGGAUUUCCCCCCCUAUAUGUUGUCCUAAGAAGGCUUUCAGUUUUCAUUGCCUGACAAAAGCUCUCCACCUAGUUUGAAGAUUAUCUGGCAAAGAAGCAGUCCCUUUAGAGUUAAACUAGACAAAAGGUAUUCUGUGACUCAUAAUAACCAUGGCCUCUUGUCAUUUACACCUAUGCUAUCCAAUAACUUUCCCAGUUGCUGCAAGGCCCUGUCAUGGUACAGUUUCAUUUUUAAGCAAUGCAACCAUUGUUAAGGCUAGAAUAGUCAUGGCUGGAAAGUGUGUGUCCCCUUACCUCUAAAUCCAUAAAGCUGGGCGGGGGGACAGCUUAGAACUUUUCCUAGAGUGCAUAACAGCUCCUAGAGGAUAUAUUUGUUGCCUUCUCUCCAUCUGAUUACUGGCCUUGGUAAGGUUUCUUCCAGAAACGUUACUAUAAGUUUUCUAUUAUAUUGUUAUGAUUUGUAGACUAACUUAAGCAAAUUUUCCCCGAAUUGUAUUUUCCAGAAGAACUAGUAUUGAAAAACAAAAGAAUCUGCAUGGAAGUUUUCUUUCGUUACCUUUCCCCCAACUAAAAAUUGGCUGGAUUUUGUUGAAUUGAGAAUAUCUACAUUGUACAAUGUUUGUUUUAAAAAAUAAACAAGAGUGCCACUGCCAACCUGUUAAUAAAGGACAAUCAAGACAA